rnacentral:rRNA from 4 species
GGCCUAACACAUGCAAGUCGAGCGGAAACGACACUAACAAUCCUUCGGGUGCGUUAAUGGGCGUCGAGCGGCGGACGGGUGAGUAAUGCCUAGGAAAUUGCCUUGAUGUGGGGGAUAACCAUUGGAAACGAUGGCUAAUACCGCAUAAUGCCUACGGGCCAAAGAGGGGGACCUUCGGGCCUCUCGCGUCAAGAUAUGCCUAGGUGGGAUUAGCUAGUUGGUGAGGUAAUGGCUCACCAAGGCGACGAUCCCUAGCUGGUCUGAGAGGAUGAUCAGCCACACUGGAACUGAGACACGGUCCAGACUCCUACGGGAGGCAGCAGUGGGGAAUAUUGCACAAUGGGCGAAAGCCUGAUGCAGCCAUGCCGCGUGUAUGAAGAAGGCCUUCGGGUUGUAAAGUACUUUCAGUUGUGAGGAAGGGGGUAGCGUUAAUAGCGCUAUCUCUUGACGUUAGCAACAGAAGAAGCACCGGCUAACUCCGUGCCAGCAGCCGCGGUAAUACGGAGGGUGCGAGCGUUAAUCGGAAUUACUGGGCGUAAAGCGCAUGCAGGUGGUUCAUUAAGUCAGAUGUGAAAGCCCGGGGCUCAACCUCGGAACUGCAUUUGAAACUGGUGAACUAGAGUACUGUAGAGGGGGGUAGAAUUUCAGGUGUAGCGGUGAAAUGCGUAGAGAUCUGAAGGAAUACCAGUGGCGAAGGCGGCCCCCUGGACAGAUACUGACACUCAGAUGCGAAAGCGUGGGGAGCAAACAGGAU